GGACUUCGGUCUGGUGGCGAGUGGCGAACGGGUGAGUAAUGCAUUGGAACGUACCGAGUAGUGGGGGAUAACUAGUCGAAAGAUUAGCUAAUACCGCAUACGCAUUGAGAUGGAAAGCGGGGGAUCUUAGGACCUCGCGCUAUUUGAGCGGCCAAUGUCUGAUUAGCUAGUUGGUGGGGUAAAGGCCUACCAAGGCGACGAUCAGUAGCGGGUCUGAGAGGAUGAUCCGCCACACUGGGACUGAGACACGGCCCAGACUCCUACGGGAGGCAGCAGUGGGGAAUUUUGGACAAUGGGCGAAAGCCUGAUCCAGCCAUGCCGCGUGUCUGAAGAAGGCCUUCGGGUUGUAAAGGACUUUUGUCAGGGAAGAAAAGGUGAUUGCUAAUAUCAGUCGCUGAUGACGGUACCUGAAGAAUAAGCACCGGCUAACUACGUGCCAGCAGCCGCGGUAAUACGUAGGGUGCGAGCGUUAAUCGGAAUUACUGGGCGUAAAGCGAGCGCAGACGGUUUGUUAAGCAGGAUGUGAAAUCCCCGAGCUCAACUUGGGAACGGCGUUCUGAACUGGCAAGCUAGAGUAUGUCAGAGGGGGGUAGAAUUCCACGUGUAGCAGUGAAAUGCGUAGAGAUGUGGAGGAAUACCGAUGGCGAGGGCAGCCCCCUGGGAUAAUACUGACGUUCAUGCU
rnacentral:rRNA from 1 species